rnacentral:lncRNA from 1 species
GGCGAGAACCCCUUUUAGACAUAGUUAAGCAUACUUGUCUGACCAUAUAUGAACUGCAGCAGCUAAGUAACGGUGCAUCUUGUAUCCCUAGCAGGGAAGCUCUUUAAUACAGACAUCCUUAAAGGGACUGAGAACCGAUUUUUGUCGACCCAGUUCUUUACGGCGCAACGAAAAGCUCCUUCUUGGUAGGGGUUAAACCUGCAGCGGUUGAUUCCAAAAGCACGUGGAUAUUUUGUAGGCAGAAUUUUUUUAUCUGAGAAGCCAUU